rnacentral:rRNA from 1 species
UACGUAGGGACCAAGCGUUGUUCGGAUUUACUGGGCGUAAAGGGCGCGUAGGCGGCUUGACAGGUCACUUGUGAAAUCUCCGGGCUUAACUCGGAACGGCCAAGUGAAACUGUCAUGCUAGAGUGCAGAAGGGGCAGUCGGAAUUCUUGGUGUAGCGGUGAAAUGCGUAGAUAUCAAGAGGAACACCUGAGGUGAAGGCGGGUUGCUGGGCUGGCACUGACGCUGAGGCGCGAAAGCCAGGGGAGCAAACGGG